CCUUCAUUUCUUCAUUCCUUCUUUCGUGCGUGAGCUUCGGCAGAGAGAGCAUCUGUGAGCCAAAUUCACCGGUGCUGGGUUUUAAGAUUGUAUUACUGGUGAAGAUUGUGGUGAGAGAGAAAUUUUAAGGAAUAAUUUAUUGAAAAAGCCACAAGGAGAAGAGCCAAGAGUGACACGUGGAGGAGUCCCAGAGGCUUAGUGGUAUAGAUCCACUGUCUCUUUUGGGUAUUUAAUUUAUGAUUUAUAAUGUGUUAUAUUGCCAAUAUUAGGACUUUUUUAUGUUUAUUGUCAAUUAUAUGAAUAUAUAAAUGUAAUCAUGCCUUUCAAACUAUUUCUAUUUUUGGUACAAUUUGGAUGACUGUAAUUUUAAUAUUUGGUUUACUU